rnacentral:rRNA from 1 species
UACGAAGGGGGCGAGCGUUGUUCGGAAUUACUGGGCGUAAAGGGCGCGUAGGCGGCCCCUUUUGUCGCGUGUGAAAUCCCCGGGCUUAACCCGGGAACUGCGUCCGAUACUGGUUGGGCUUGAAUCCGGGAGAGGGAUGUGGAAUUCCAGGUGUAGCGGUGAAAUGCGUAGAUAUCUGGAGGAACACCGGUGGCGAAGGCGGCAUCCUGGACCGGUAUUGACGCUGAGACGCGAAAGCGUGGGGAGCGAACAGG